rnacentral:rRNA from 1 species
AGAGUUUGAUCUUGCUCAGACGACGCUGCGGCGUGCUUACACAUGCAAGUGAGCGACGAACCGGGCUUCGGCCCGGGGCAAAGCCGCGAACGGGUGAGUAUCACGUGGGUAACCUGCCCCGAUGACCGGGACAACCCGAGGAAACUCGGGCUAAUACCGGAUGUGCUCCUCAUACAUCAGUGUGAGGAACAAAGGAAGCUUCGGCCUCCGCAUCGGGAUGGGCCCGCGGCCCAUUAGCUUGUUGGUGAGGUAACGGCUCACCAAGGCGACGAUGGGUAGCUGGUCUGAGAGGACGAUCAGCCACACUGGGACUGAGACACGGCCCAGACUCCUACGGGAGGCAGCAGUGGGGAAUCUUGCGCAAUGCGCGAAAGCGUGGCGCAGCAACGCCGCGUGAGGGAAGAAGGCCUUCGGGUUGUAAACCUCUUUCAGGAGGGACGAAGGUUCAGGCGCGAACAGCGACCUGGACUGACGGUACCUCCAGAAGAAGCCCCGGCUAACUACGUGCCAGCAGCCGCGGUAAUACGUAGGGGGCUAGCGUUGUCCGGAAUCAUUGGGCGUAAAGCGCGCGUAGGCGGCCCGGUAAGUCCGCUGUAAAAGUCAAAGGCUCAACCUUUGAAUGUCAGUGGAUACUGCCGGGCUAGAGUCCGGAAGAGGCGAGUGGAAUUCCUGGUGUAGCGGUGGAAUGCGCAGAUAUCAGGAGGAACACCAACGGCGAAGGCAGCUCGCUGGGACGGUACUGACGCUGAGGCGCGAAAGCGUGGGGAGCGAACAGGAUUAGAUACCCUGGUAGUCCACGCCGUAAACGAUGGGCACUAGGUGUGGGAGGUGUCGACUCCUCCCGUGCCGGCGCUAACGCAUUAAGUGCCCCGCCUGGGGAGUACGGCCGCAAGGCUAAAACUCAAAUGAAUUGACGG